CCCUUAGAUGUUCUGGGCCGCGCGCGCGCUACACUGACGGAUUCAACGAGCUUACAACCUUGGCCGAAAGGUCUGGGUAAUCUCCAAAAUCCGUCGUGAUGGGGAUAGAUUAUUGCAAUUAUUAAUCUUCAACGAGGAAUGCCUAGUAAGCGCAAGUCAUCAGCUUGCGUUGAUUACGUCCCUGCCCUUUGUACACACCGCCCGUCGCUCCUACCGAUUGAAUGGUCCGGUGAAGCGUUUGGACUAUGGUUUUCUGAUGGUCCGCCGUUGGAUUACCGUGGGAAGUUCGUUAAACCUUAUCAUUUAGAGGAAGGAGAAGUCGUAACA
rnacentral:rRNA from 1 species